rnacentral:rRNA from 1 species
UACGUAGGUGGCGAGCGUUAUCCGGAUUUAUUGGGUUUAAAGGGUGCGUAGGCGGGUUAUCAAGUCAGCGGUAAAAUCGUGGAGCUCAACCCCAUCCAGCCGUUGAAACUGGGGAUCUAGAGUGUGCGAGAGGUAUGCGGAAUGCGUGGUGUAGCGGUGAAAUGCAUAGAUAUCACGCAGAACCCCGAUUGCGAAGGCAGCGUACCGGCGCCCAACUGACGCUGAAGCACGAAAGCGUGGGUAUCGAACAGG